rnacentral:lncRNA from 1 species
GACUAAAGUUUUUAUUAUUCAUUUUCUUUUCCCUUUUCUUCUUCGUAAAUCUUCGGAGAAUACGGCGUUGUAUUAAUGUAAGUUUUCUCUUCUGAAUGACCAAGGCAUAAUGAGACUAAAAACGAUGCUUUCUUGGCCGUGUAGAACAUGGAUUAGCAUUAUGUCAUUCCUACAAGUGAUCCCCCAUCCAGGAUUCGAAGAAGCGCCAUAUGAGGACUUCUUUAUUAAAUAUAAUAUGUUUCUUUCCAUUCCUCGUGAGCCACUUAUUUCUCCGAAACAAGAGAUCAAAGUUAUUUUCCUUCUUUUUCCCAAUAAGUCGACAGCCUUACACCAUUGGGAUACUUCGAAUAAACUAGAGUACAUAUAGGAUACACCGGUGCUAAACCCUUUUCUCAAGAUAUCUUCCAAAUUGUUGGGGAGUACAUAUAAGAUACACCGGUGCUAAACCCUUUUCUCAAGAUAUCUUCCAAAUUGUUGGGGUCCUUGCUCCGGGUGUUGUUCUCCUGGUGUGAAAUUAGUUGGUUCCGUAGUUUUAGAAUUCUGCUGAUCCCAAGUACUCCAUCUCCAUCAUUGCAUAUGAAAAUAUAGAAAGUAAAGAAGAAAAGGCAUAACCAGAAGAAUUGUGUAAAAUAAGUGAAUUUAUCUAGUUGAGGCAUGAUUGAUUUCGAAAAAUGUAGUUUUAGAAUUCUGCUAAUCCCAAGUACUCCAUCUCCAUCAUUGCAUAUGAAAAUAUAGAAAAUAAAGAAGAAAACGCAUAACCAGAAGAAUUGUGUAAAAUAAGUGAAUUUAUCUAGUUGAGGCAUGAUUGAUUUCGACAAAAGAAUUCCCCAAACAGAAAGAGAGUCAAAGUAGUGAAGAACUAUAGAGAGCAGUGGUUGGUUGUUAACCAACAGAAACCAUGGGAGUCUUAUCUUAGGGCAUAAAUGUUGCUUUCUUCUCUUACAAUAUUUUUAGUUGGAUGAAAACAGUGCUCCUAAAUGAGGCUAGCUCCUUAACAUCCGAAGUUGAAUAUGAUGGCAUAGUCGGAAAAGUCUGGCCACAAGGCCCUAAUCUCUGAAGCGCUGGUACUGGAGGUGGUGAGAACAAAGCUUCCAUACUGGAUCGAAAAAGAAGCAUUUAAUGGACCAUAGCAUGAGAUUUAAUAGAUCAACCUAAUCGCAUAUCCGCUGUCGCAAAUUGGUUGUUAACGUAACCGCUGAUGGAGGUGCGUAGCCGCUCUUACUCUAUUUGCUGUUGGUGGUGAAGUCACUUCGGUAGGGGAUUCGCGAUGCCAUCUGUAUGGUUUUGUGUUCUUUCCUCACAUCGUGAAUGCUGCCCUGAAACGGCAAAGCCCGUCAUCUAUCUCAGCACGUUGGCUCACAUUGCCUUGUCAAGGAAGCCGAGAUCGAUGUCGGAUAAUAGAAACGAGGGAG